rnacentral:rRNA from 1 species
UACGUAGGGGGCAAGCGUUGUCCGGAUUUAUUGGGCGUAAAGAGCGUGUAGGCGGCCAGGUAGGUCUGCUGUGAAAACUCGAGGCUCAACCUCGAGAUGUCGGCGGAAACCAUCUGGCUAGAGUCCGGAAGAGGAGAAUGGAAUUCCCGGUGUAGCGGUGAAAUGCGCAGAUAUCGGGAAGAACACCCGUGGCGAAGGCGGUUCUCUGGGACGGUACUGACGCUGAGACGCGAAAGCGUGGGGAGCGAACAGG